rnacentral:rRNA from 1 species
UACGUAGGGGGCUAGCGUUGUCCGGAAUCAUUGGGCGUAAAGAGCGCGUAGGCGGUCCGGUAAGUCAGCUGUGAAAGUCAGGGGCUCAACCCUUGAAAGCCGGUUGAUACUGUCGGGCUAGAGUCCGGAAGAGGCGAGUGGAAUUCCCGGUGUAGCGGUGAAAUGCGCAGAUAUCGGGAGGAACACCAAUGGCGAAGGCAGCUCGCUGGGACGGUACUGACGCUGAGGCGCGAAAGCCAGGGGAGCAAACGGG